ACCCAAACAGUAGACUCAGUCUUCCGUGGUUUCGCUCAGUCACCUGAGGAGGGGACCUGCAGGAAGGCCAAGAGGCAGGAAGGACCCUGAGGCCUGAAAGUCAUCCUGAGAAAUGCCAGACAUUCGAAGAGCACGUGCUCCCCUCCCCUGCCACUACCAGAGACUACUUGCUUAGCUUGCGCUUCUGGGCAUUAUUCCAAUAUUGAAAGGCAGAGUCCUGGAAAGAGCCCAUGGAGUGAAAGAAGGUUGGAAGAUUCCUGACUUGGAAGGAGAAGGGGAAACUUGGGACGUGGUGACCGUGGCUGCACAGCCUUUCUGGCCUGGAUGGAGCAGAAGUCACUGUCUCACCUCCCAGGAAGUGAAAGUUGCUGGGAAACAAAGCUGGCGAAAGUUCAGAACAAGUGUUCAGUUCGUGUUUGAUGUGCCUGCAGCAGAGCCUCCAGGCCCAUGUUCAAAGGAUGACAUAACUCCUGCUCUUGAUUGCCUCUGUCUGUGGAGAAAGAGUCAGGCCUCUCUCAGCCUCACCCAGGAGGCCCAGGGAGCAGGCUGACGGCAGGGAGCUGCUGCCUUCGGGAUAGACUCCUGCAGAUCCCCAGUCCUCACCCCAAUUGCAGAAAUAAUAGUUACCACUUCCCUAGUGCUCACUGUGCCCCAGUACUGUGCUGUCCAGGUACAGGUUCAAGCGAAUGGCCCAACAACCCUGUGAAGAGUAUUCUCAACCCCAUUUUACAAAUGAUGAAACUGAGGCUCAGAGAUUUGAUGUCACUUGUCCAGGGCCACCAGUUAAUAACUGGGAUUCAGGCCCAGGUCUGUGGACUCUAAAGCCAGUGGCUGCCACGUGGUAUAUGCCUAUGGGUGUUGUGCCUGACAAGGUCCUACCAAACCCCUUUGCAUGUACCCCCACCCCCAACCCGCAGCUUUAAACCACACUGAGGGCAGGCCACGCCCAGUGCCUCCCCUGCUCUCAAAGGAGCCUUCUGUAUCUCCAUGGUAACAGGAUCCGGAGCAGCCAAAGCUGAGCUUGGUCUGCUUCUGAGGAGCUGAGGUAGCCUUUGCCCACAGAGCCCCCAGGUGCCGAGGCUCUGAGCAAGUGUGACUCAGGGCUCCCUCAGGCAUCCCCAGCCUCACAAAGCUCCCCUCCUGCCCCAAACACAGACACAGCACACGCCCCUCACAGACCUCCGGUAGAAAAAGCCACCCCAGCCUCCCUGCCUCCUUCACAUAAUUCCCCUGCUGUCCAACCUCCAUCCCUCUGGCUGCAAUUCCAGCCCUUGUCCCCAUGGAAUCCCCCUCCCCCUCCUCCCACAGCCGCCAUCUGGAGGAAGCAAAGUGGACAUGUGGACUCUGCCCUGGGGAGGCCUGAGGGCCCCUUCUCAAGGUGACCAUAGUCUCACAGAGACCCCCUCCUGUUCUGGAAGGGCACCUUUGUGCUCCCGCCGCCCCAUUCACACAUUUAUUUGUUCAUCACUCAGUCAUUCACUAAAUACUUAUUGAGGGCCCACUAUGUGCCUGGCACUGUUCCCAGUGUUAGAGAGGUGGCCAAGGGCAGCAGGCCUCCUUGUCAGGGCCCUUCUCCCCGCAGUGUAGACUGGGCUCCUCUCUCAGGACCUGUUGCUCCUGACACCAAGGAAGCAAACUCACAGACAAACUGGAUUCAAACUUGACUUGACUGGUACCUGACUCUCUGGGUGACCUUGGCCCUCAGCUUCCGUCUCUUCCUUUCCCCUUUAUAAAAUAAGGGAGUGGGGCCAGGAUCUGCUUUCCAAGGCCUUGCCAACCCUGCUUUUCUCAGGUGUCAGUAAUUCGAUCACCUCUUCCAUCCUACGGCUAGGAAAGUCAGGGUUUUGCACGUGCUUCAUCUCAGGUGGACUUAAUGACUGCCCCUGUCUUCCAGGCUCUCUGCGUUCUAAAGAGCAGUCUGGAGAUGGCUCUGCUGCUAAUGGUAGUUUUUAGUUGCCAGAGAGGCUUGGGGGCUGAGGAGGAAAGGAAAUAAACAUUUGCA